CUGGUUUAGAUCAGGCCUGUCUAAGUUCAAAAGCUGCUGGGGGGCCACUUGACCCAGGGGCCUCACCAGUGGGGAACCAUGGAUCGUGGGGGCCACCCAGGCUGCACAUCCCAUGCGCAUGUGUACAGCCUGAACAGUAUCUAACAAGAAAGAAGACUCUUUAUUUUAUUAGCAUGCAAUUAGCUGGUGGCACUCGUUGCCAAAAAGUAUAAUGAAGCCAGGAGCUUGGCAGGACUCAAGAGGGAGUUGGACAUUUACAUGGUUAUCAAGACAUCUAGACCUACAAUAAUCAGGACUGGUUUAACAACAAAAACCUCAUGUUUCAAGUCAUAAACCAAGCUGUUAGUGAUGGUGAGAAGAUUAUUCCAUAACUGUCUACUCUAGGACGUCUUUCUCUGAAAGGAUUUGCUGCAAUUGUUUGUCCUAGGAUCAUCUCAGUUGGGUACACGGAAACUGCUUUUGGAGGGGGAUCAUAUACAGAUGUCACAGAAACAUGUUCACUUAUGUAAAUCAUAAAAAUAAUCCUCCUCUCUGCAAACUGACUGAGAACAAGCCAUUACUUUCAUACCAUUUGCUUUGUAAUUCCUCUGCUUUGAAUCUGGAAUGUUACUCCUACAAGGUAGCUUGUCUUUUGCUUUACUCCAGAAAUGCUUGUUUUUUCUACAGUUCAGGAGAAUAGCAGAUUAAAGAGAAUUUGUUAUUACACAGGGCCAAUUAUCAUACAACAACAUUAUGAUGUGCAUUAGACUAUGUUCUUCUCUCGGUUACCUAAGUAAUAUUGAGAAUCGCUUCAAUGCAGUAACAGAAAUAUAGCACUGCCCAGCUGGUAUAAACAGGAACAGAAAUAGGCCCCUGCCACUUGAGGGUAGCAUUUGCUGCCCAUAUGGUAAAAGAUUUCAUUAUUCUCCUUUGCAGUUUUAUUAAUACUGCUGUGGGGGUUGGGCUUUCCAGACAAUUCUGGCAAUUGUUUAGUAAAAUGGAAUUUGAACAAUUCUUUCUUUUGUGUAUCCUGAAUUUUCAUAAAUAAAUAUCUCCACUUGCUCUGAAAGAAUGUCUUUUUCUGCCCUAAUGAGAACUUAUGAGGCUUUUGCCAUGAGGAAUUGCUAGUGUCUCCUAGUCAGAGUAGUGGUCUCUUCCCAUUUUAACUUCUGUUUUUUGUUGGAUGGCCCAACUGUCUACCUCCUUCAUUUGCAAAAUCCUUGAUAUCAGAUUAAAAGUCUGGACUAUAUUAUUAGUCCAUUUCUUUUGUACUGCUAAGCUAUAUAGAGGACAUGAAUAGAAAGGACAAAGGACCCGUUAGCUCAGGUCAGCAAAAGGAGGUAACAGUCUGGACCUACUAUUCAAACUAAAUUGCAAAAGCAUGGGCUCUGUGACAUUUGAACUCUGGGAUGUGGCUAGAGUCAUUGAUUUGCUUUAUUUGGAUUUUCCCUUUGAAGUGUUUUUAUCUGACAAGGAACUGUAGCCUCCAGUGAGGUGCUAAGAUCUCGGCCCAAAUAUUAAGGAAAGAGUACUUUCUAGGGUAUUACAUUGUUUCCUAUUUUGGCAGAAUGUACUAAACAAAUUUGUGCAGCACCCCUAAGAGAGCCUCUCAAAUGCAGUGCAUUGCUUUACAAAUUGCUGAAGACACUAGGUGUUAAAGGACAUAACCCUUUUAAAGGUAGGGACAAGUUGUUUUAUACUGAAAUUAAACAAAAGUAUCUAUUCCUGCAGUUUGACUCAUGUGAAUGUACCUUUGUAUCAGUAUGGAGUACUGCUACCAUCAGUGGGACUCCAUGUGCAAUUAACUGUCCAGCAUUGUGGCCUGCACAGCAGGAUCGGGGCCUAAUUUGGCACAUAAUGGAACACAACUAAAAAGGAAGUGCUAUGUCAUGGAGAUAAAUAAGGUGAAGUCUGGAUCUAUGUAUGCUGUUGCAGUUCAUUUGACCAAAUCCCUCAUAAAGUCGACAGAGCAGCUUCAUCUAGUCUAUCAAGGGACUAAGGUCCAUGAGUUAUCAUUGACUUUCCUUGGAUCUAUGCAUGCUCAGUGUAUCUCAGGAAGCUCUCCGCAAACUGUGAAUCAGGGCCUUAACUCCAAAUAGAAAAGAGAGCAAAGACAGCUGUAGACUCUAAGUUAUUCUUCAUUCUAGCCCUCUAUAACUUUAUCUGGAUGCUGUAACUGUUUUAUAAGUGAUUUUUAUGUGUGUAAUUAUUUUUCUCAGGAUAUUUCUAAUAAAAAUAUUGUAUUUUUAAAUGCA